ACACGGAUAGAGGGGAUGAACAGUUCUGGGAAUACGAGGUUUUACGAUUUCCUCUUCCAAUCACUCUUUAUGUCUUAUUUCCUCUUUUCUUUUCUAAAUCCCUAAUAAAAAACUUUCCCAAUUCCCAUCCCUUUGAUUGUUAAGCCAUUCCAACAUUCGGACUGCAAUUGCCCGAGAAGUGAGAAUGCAAGAUCCAAGGAUGGCACCAUCAGAGGGAGAUUUGAAUCCUAAGACACGGAAAAAGAAAAGCUCCGCUAACAAAGGACCCAUGUUUCCGUCAGAAUGAAACGAGACUAAGGGGGCUCAACAGGUACAGGGAUCCCUAACAUUAAGAAAGGGGAAGAAAACAUC